rnacentral:rRNA from 1 species
GACGAACGCUGGCGGCGUGCCUAACACAUGCAAGUCGAACGGAAAGACCCUGCUUUUGUUGGGUGCUCGUGUGGCGCGCGGGUGUGUAACACGUGAGUAACCUGCCCUUGACUUAGUGAUAACUUCAGGAAACUGGGGCUAAUACCGGAUAGGAGCUCUUGAUGCAUGGUGGGGGUUGGAAAGUUUCGGCGGUUGGGGAUGGAAUGGCGGCUUAUCAGCUUGUUGGUGGGGUAGUGGCUUACCAAGGCUUCGACGGGUAGCCGGCCUGAGAGGGGGACCGGCGUCAAUAGGACUGAGAGACGGCCCAGACGCCUACGGGAGGCAGCGGGGGAGAGUAUUACACAAUGGGCGGAAGUCUGAGGCGGAAACGCCGCGUGCGGGAUGCCGUCCUUCGGGUUGUAAACCGCUUUCUCCUGUGACGAGGCGUGAUUGACGGUAAUGGGUAAAGAAGCACCGGCUAACUACGUG